rnacentral:lncRNA from 10 species
AACCACAUACCCACCAUACGACUGGAAUCACACAUACACUGCCACAAGAGGUCUGCAGUGAAGGUCCCAAAGUCCCAGACAAUAAGACUGAAAGCAACACCAGCCAGUCUUGGGAAAUAUAAAGUCACAAAUAAAUUUUGAUAAUUUUUCAUUUCGUAAAGGAUCUUUCUGCUGAUGCAGCUGUUAAGAGUGUUUCAUAAACUGUGACAACACUAAGCAAAAUCAUAGAAGGAAACUCUAUGGACAAUUUCAGAUGGAGAAGAAGAAAGGACUGGAAGUUCAAUUUGGCCAUGACAAUUAGAGGCCAGGUGCAGUGCAUGUAAUCCCAGCACUUUGGGAGACUGAGAUGGGAAGAUCGCUUGAGGCCAGGAGUGCAAGACCAGCCUGGGCAACACAGCAAGACCUUGAUUCUACUAAAAAAAAAAAAGGAUCCUUCAACUUCAACAAUAAUAACACAAGGGAAGUGAAGAAAAACACUUUCUAAGGAAAUCUCUCUCUGAGCUACCAUCCUGCUAGGGAGAGCCUGAAAGCAGAAUGCUGACUUGACUAGCUCUGGUCAAUGAAAGAAAUCACCAGUGGAAAGGCUACCAGGGGGCUUUCUCAAAAGAGAGGGACAGUAAACUGCAAGAUGAACAACUCAAUGCCAUCCAGGUCUGGAUGAGAAAGAACAGUCG